rnacentral:rRNA from 1 species
AUUGAACGCUGGCGGCAGGCCUAACACAUGCAAGUCGAGCGAGCGGCGGACGGGUGAGUAAUGUCUGGGAAACUGCCCGAUGGAGGGGGAUAACUACUGGAAACGUUGGCUAAUACCGCAUACUUUCGGAUGGCCCCAGAUGGGAUUAGCUAGUAGUGGGGGUAAUGGCUCACCUGGGCGACGAUCCCUAGCGGGUCUGAGAGGAUGACCAGCCACACUGGAACUGAGACACGGUCCAGACUCCUACGGGAGGCAGCAGUGGGGAAUAUUGCACAAUGGGCGCAAGCCUGAUGCAGCCAUGCCGCGUGUGUGAAGAAGGCCUUCGGGUUGUAAAGCACUUUCAGCGGGGAGGCGUUACCCGCAGAAGAAGCACCGGCUAACUCCGUGCCAGCAGCCGCGGUAAUAC